rnacentral:rRNA from 1 species
UACGGGGGGGAGCAAGCGUUGUUCGGAUUUACUGGGCGUAAAGGGCGCGUAGGCGGUCGUGACAAGUCACUUGUGAAAUCUCCGGGCUUAACUCGGAACGGUCAAGUGAUACUGUCGGGACUAGAGUUACAGAAGGGGCAACUGGAAUUCUCGGGUGUAGCGGUGAAAAUGCGUAGAUAUUAGGAAGAACACCAGUGGCGAAGGCGGCUCACUGGCUCGGUACUACGCUGAGGCGCGAAAAGCGUGG